rnacentral:tRNA from 1 species
CAGGGAGACAACAAAAUGUUAAAUAUUAAUUUUGUCACCUUAGGUCGAUCGGUAUCUCACAUUCUUAAUUUUUUUAAGGAUUUCAUUUCCUAAGUUUUUUCUAGGUCACACCCAUUUUUUCCUGGGCCAUUAGCUCAGGUGGUUAGAGCGCACCCCUGAUAAGGGUGAGGUCCCUGGUUCAAGUCCAGGAUGGCCCAUAUCUCUAUGUUGGGGGUAUAGCUCAGUUGGUAGAGCGCCUGCUUUGCAAGCAGGAUGUCAGCGGUUCGAGUCCGCUUACCUCCACUGAUUACCACCUCUUCCAUAAUUUAUAGAAGGGAAAUUUUUGAGUUGUGAUCAAAUUCUGAACGAAUCUAGCUUCCUAACAAUUUUAUUAAGAUGCUGGACUCAUUGAAUUAAUUUCAUUGUUUUCAGAGAACCUUGACAACUGCAUAGAUUAUUUUAAAGACAAUAAGCAUCUUUAAUGAUGCAGAUUUAUUAUUUGUGCGAAUGCAUUAAUAACAAUUCUAUUAAGCUGAUGCUUCAAUUUUGAAGUUAUU